UGUCCCUGACCCUGGGUAGAGUGGCACCUGGUUGGUGGUGCCUGUCUCAUAUCAGCCAGGGACAAAGCAACUCCUUGUUCAUCCCAGCUUGGCUUUUGGUUUGUGCCCAUGCCUGGUUCAUGCCCUGGACACAUGG
ensembl:snoRNA SNORA48 small nucleolar RNA, H/ACA box 48